rnacentral:miRNA from 1 species
UAGCCCUUCCGGAUCCUGCGCGCAGAGUGAGUGGCCGUGAGGUUCCGGGUGCCGGGGG